GCACCUACAUGGCCACAUUUGCACUAACUUUGUUCAUUGCUUGGUUUGACUGAGCUGUGAAAGAAAAAGGAAAGAUGAAUGCGUUUAAAAUCUACGAGUUGCCUUAGUAAGAAAGUUCCUCCUUCUCGCUAUAGAAAUGAUCUUUAAGACAACCUAUCCGUUUUGGUUUUGAAGAAGAUAGGAAUGAGUCAGUGCCAGGUGUCCCCGGUCGUGAUACACUAACCAACCAACUUAACCUAUAGCGCUCAAUCAAAUGAAGUUUUGAUUUCCCAUAUGGAGAAAAAGAUACCUUCAAUCCAUAGUGCCAUCUUUCUCUUAAAAUGACAUUAGUUAUGCUUUCUUCAAGAUCGAGAUCAUCUAAGACCUAUGUCUGAUCCCGUCCAAUAGCAGGUUUAGUGAGCACCACAGACCAAUCCACCUACUUUGAUAGCAUAAAAUCGUUCGGGGAUUUUAAUGUAAAAACACCUGCACAGAGCUUGGAGAGCAGAGCACUCGGGUGCGAUGGGUUGAUUGAUUCCAUAGUAGGUUUCUGAGUUCAUCAGGUGUGCUCGUGCCUGAAAUGCUUUUCACAAGAAGCUAGUCAGAAAAAGGGGCACGCAGCUACGCGAUUCUAACUGCCCUUGGUUUCGUAACUCACUGCUCUUGGUUUUCUAUGUGGGAGUUGGUCCGGAUAACAUAUCUUAACGAGGGAUAUAAAAGGGCGAAGGUCAAUGAAAUGGGGUCCUUAUAGGUAUCUGCCCAUGUUCAAUCACUGAAGUAAUGAAUCUAAACAAGAAAACGAAGUAGAAGUGAAAAGCUUUUCGAAUAUAUUUUUAUAUCUCUUUGCUCAGUUUUCCCCUUUAAUGUCCCUCUCCAUUAUUAUUCAGAGUAAUGUGCUCCUCGCUGAGCUUUAUGAUUUCCAUUGUCAUUCUUCCCUCUCCUCUCUGAUUGCUUUUCAUCGUCUCUUUGCGUUUACCCUAUUUUCGUGACUCUCCUCUCUUUCUUCUCCCGUACCAUUAUUUUGAUCGUUUCUGAAUCUUGAGAUUGCUUCAAUGCAUGUGAUCCCUCUCCUCAGCCUUCCCCUCCUAAAUCUUAGAAUCCUAAUGCCGCAGGUGCUAUGUCGGAAAUCCAUUUUUUUAUCCCCAAGGAAAAUCAAAGAAGAAGAAAGCCCUGGUAUUCUCUACUUGAAUUCAGGAAGAUUCAGAUACCGAAAGCAAUAGGAAUGGGAAAGCGGAGCGGGCAAUAGGUUUAUGACUGAGCACUAGAGCCUGGAAUAGCAGGAAUGAAGGUUGGGAAAUAUGCCAUGCAGAAUUCCAAUAAGUUGGCACUGCUUUCCCUUUCCAUAUGAAAAAUGGAGAGGAAAAGCAUGGGUGGACCAAGCGUUUUAACCGGAAUCUAGUGACGGAGAAAGAAGAAAGAUUUUUAAGCGCUAGAUAGGGUCACAAUUCAAUAAAGAUACUUGGCUGGAUGGCGAAGCUGUGUUUUCUCUCCCAAAUCGAGAUCAAAGUCUUGCUUGACAGCGUGAGGAACUUUGAAUGCUCCGUACAAAGGGUCAUAGGGAGCUUUUGGAGGUCAGGGAGAAGUGUGUGUGGCCACUGUGCGCAAGCAUUCUGUACGGCGAUCUUGCUGAGGAGGUCCCCGGUCCCACCUCCAUAAAGAAGAUCUGGUGACUGCCCAUUGUCUUGUUUUGACUUGGAAGUCUCCUCAAAAUAAGGCAAGUGAGUCAACGAUCUCUGUAAGAGGAAUUGGAAGAUGGGGGUUCCAUGGCGCACUGAGAUGAAAGGCUGUCUUGGACGUGCAACCCCUUAUCCCUAUCCCUUUGUAGAUGAAUCCCAUGCAACGCGCCCUUGCUUGGAUGAAAAAAUGUCAUAAGGGGGACUCGUUUCACUUGAUUCGUUCCGUCGCACCCGCACUAUUCCUAAAUUUCUUUUCUGUUUCUAUUUUAAAAAAAAGGUCGAACUCAUUUCGUAUAGAAAGAAAGACGUGUCGGGUUUGGAUCGAGUGACACAGGAGGUGCUUCUGCGUGGCACUCUUUUUAAUGGGCUUUACCGUCUUUCUUUACCUUCAGAACACAAAGCUUUGCUUGGCGAAAUAACUCCUGCCUAUAUUUGGCAUCUCAUCUACUUAAUUUAAUGACAUUCCAUAUCUCAGGAAGGAAAAAAAGCGAAUGGAAUUUCAGUCAAGUCUUUUUUUCAGCUUUAUCCUUCUCUCAAUCAAAGAAAGGGAAUGCAGAUGUUCUGUCGCCCUCUCUUCGUAUGCCACCAGCCUUCCUCUCAAAACCAUACUGAUCCGAUCUUGCGCAGAUAGGUAGGGACGAUCCCUCCAGUAACCAUGCCUAAAAUCAUAAGCCGACCCAUUACUUCUGUAGGUGCCUCAAUUCUUCCCAUUUUCCUACUUAUAUAACUCUUUGGUGUCCAUACCGCACUUGGGGACGGGAUAUGAUUGCUUUCUUAAACAAACCUUUUAGAGCGUUGUCAUCUUACCAGCACAGGACUCAAUAGUAAGGACUGUCACUACAUUGAUAUCGCUCAUGGAUCGUGUUAUACUUGGGAAGAUCCGGCCCAAGGGGAAGUCUGUUAUCCACAACCCAACCUUAGAUGAGGGAGAAGUUCACGCUUGAUCUUCGACCCAAGACAAUGGAAGGGAGCUAAAGCCUUCUUCCUUUUUCAAAUUCGUUUAUAUGGAGCAAAAAGAGGUCGUGUCAUACCAUUUAUUCCGCCAAGAAGCAUUCGUCUACGGCACUUAGAACGCCUCGACACAUUUGUACUCACGCCUAGGACGGUCUUUCACACGGAAGUAAGAUUAGAGAGUUUGAUCAUAGUUUGACCGUAGUAAAAAAGAAGUCCCUUUCUCAUUUGCUUCCUGGUCAUCUCUAUAGAGAUAGAAGAAAGAAGUCCCAAGCAAGGGUCAUGCUAUUUCUAUUCUUUUCACUAUUGUUAUUCCCUAUUUCCUUAACUGAUCUUGAGUUGUACCGAAACAACAGAAAUAUGGUCUCUCAUAAAUUGAUUUCUUUCAUCACUGUUCUUAAAUCAAUCCGUGUCAGGUACAGAGCCAAUCUUCACAUCCCAUAGGUAAAACAAGUCGCUUUAUGGGCUCCUUGUGAAACUACAACCUUUCUGAAGCCCUAGUCAAUAAGUUGUGCGAAACCUCAAUUGGUAAGAGGAGUAAACACCUAUUCUUUGGCCAUUCAAAACAUCGAAUUGGUUGGCUCGCUCAACCUCUCGAACCGGGACAAAACUUCCCAGCGUUGCAUUCACCGCCUAGCCUCGUCCAACAUGACUGUAAGGCACGUUUUGCAUGCCUUUAAAGUGUACCCCCUCGGAGGUAUCAAAAAGUGCGAGAAAUCGCAUUGAUGACUAAUAAAGUAGGGUUUUCACUCGUGUGGGUUCGCCCACCUUCCCUUCAGCAGCUCUCCCUGGACACCCUAUACUAAACUGAGGAAUUACUUAAGCUCCUGGCUUUUUUUCCGACAACUCAAAGCCGCUGCACCGACAGAUAACAUGCCGUGGAUCUUAUGUGGCGCUAAAACUUCAUGAUAGAUCAAAUCCUGAUUACGACUGGAGAGGGACGUUGAUGUUCCAAACAUUGGGUUCAAGAGCUCGGUUUGAUAGACAUAAACCUCAGUGAUCGGCUUUACAGAUUCAUGGCCUCCUGCUUGAACAUUGUCCCAAAAACAACGGUCACACCCUUGCCAAACACCUCCUCAACCGACGAUAAUAUAUCAGACAUUGGACUGCAGGGCCUUAGUUGGCCAAGUAUGUUUUGUAUAUAAGGAUCCAUGGUCUUAUCAAACUCCAAUUACCAAAUGGUACAUACAGGAGUUGUUGCAUAAAAGGAAGUACCAUUGCCACCAGUGAUCUUUAAAAGUGAGAAACUAAACUCAUCACGUUAGGAGAAUCCUCUAAACUUAAUAUAAUAGGCUCACUUUAUCACUAGAAACUUUUUAGUGAUGACCAAAUAACAAAAACACUUCGUUGAAUGACGUGUUGUUAAAGAAAAUAGCUGCGUCGCCCCCCUUCAAGACAGGAAACUAUAGACAGGUACCUGAGGUGCCCUGCUGAGAGAAGAAUUUGUCAACAAUCAAGCACUUGAGCUUGCAAGAAAAAAUAUAUGAUGUCUAUGCUAUUAUUGGGAUAAAAUGAAUCAAAAAAGCAGCAGAAUACGAGAAGGAUUUCUUUUCUUAAAGGGUGUAUACAUUAGAGUGUACCUGCUUGGUAGGCAUGAAAUCACUGACAAAGAGUUGCCUAGCUCCGAUGAGCUUGCAAGCAGAAUUUGGAAUUUCAUAGAAGCGGGCAUAGCUAGGGGUGAACCACGAGAAGUUAGAGCAAUUAAUGGGUAGGUAUCGUAAACAUCCUGAGUGUAUCACGGCAUUGAAGCAGAAGAAACAGAAAUGUUUUCCUUUCUUUCGCAUUUGAUUUGCAUGCCCCCUGUAGAUUUGACCCGGAGCCAAUGCCAGUCUUUUUUGCGAUCAAAUGCACUUGAGCUAGUCACUAAGUAAGGCGACAGCACCAAAAGAUGUGCAUGUGUCAUUAGGCCAUUGGAUUACUCAACAAAAAGUGAAGUGCCAAACGAUGAAGAAGAACACUUGAAACCAGGCACUGAACCCUAAAUGCUUCGCCUGGCUAACCAGAUAGAUUACUUCUAUCUGCUAGCUUGCCCUAAGAAAAACAACAGUUCCACAGAUAUCUCCAGUGCUUUUCUAUUCGAAACACAAGGGCGCUAAGCAAAGAGAAUUUCAAUUAACGAACAGUAGGUGCUUUUUCUUCCUUGGCCCAUCUCAGUGAUAUGUAGGCUCUCAGCCCUUACUUGAAUCAUCCGUCCUCCCUAUAGAAAGAAAGCGAUUUUACGCCCUCCCGAAGGAAAAUGUUUGGGCCGGCUGGAGCUCGACACGGAGCAAAAUGUAGAUGAUCUCCGCAAAUGGGCGAGGUAGGAGGACAUGGUUGGAAGUUUUUUGACACGAGGCCUUGCGCAAAAGACGAGUACUUCAGAGCCCACCAGGAAAAGGAUAUUGGUUCGCAUCUCUAUAUUGAUCCGCGGCGCUUCUAUGAAGUUUUCCUUGCCUCCGAUUUCAAAGCUGAAUGGAUGACUGAAUCUGUCGAAGCAUCAUUCGAUAUUUGCAGAUUGACGUAAUGCUAUGAGGAGUUAGAGUCUUCUGCGGGAAAGACAUUUCUUGUAGAGUUUUUUAGAUCUUUUUGCUCUACUUUUUCGAGUAUUCCUUACAUAAGAUCUCGGAAGAGCCGAUGUUUCCUUCCGUUCCCGGUAAAUAGGAAUUCUAUAUCCUCUAGCUCUUCGUGACCUGUUGUGUCUGCCCUCGACUUAGCCGUCAUAGAAUAGAAAGGUUUAUAACCGUUGAAAAGGAUAUUCUAAACGUUAAGGGGCGCUCAACCUUCCACUCAAAUCCUUUUUACCAGAAGGGAGCUCGCCUGCCACGACAUAUAAGGGAAAAGGCAAUGUGUGGAACUAGAUCAAGUUUGAUCUGCCACUUACACUGGAAGGGCAAGAACUAAUGCUUAUGCAUAUUCUUCCACGGCAUAUAGAAGGUUAACUACUCCAACUCGAUGGCUGAGAGAAAAGUGAAAUCCUAGCUUUCCCUAGAAUCAGCUCUUUACUAUCCUGCCCCAGGGGGUUUUCGGAGACAUUGAACCCUAGAUUUAGAAGCUUUCCCAAACAAACCUUUUGACCAGGAAAAGGCAUACCAAAGAUUUUUGGAAAGACACAUUGAAAUGGAAGCUCUCGAACCUAUUCCGAAGUAAGUUUAGGAUGAGGUUUCCGAUCCGGUUGGUGUUCCGACAUCCCGAAUCGAGGUGGCUCUAAACUCAGGUUUGCCUACCUCUCUAGUUACAGAGGGAGGAGAGGGGCUUCGUCUUUUUAGGUCUCUGAAAAGCCAGUUGACAUGUGCGAUCCAAUCAAGGAGGCAGUACUUCUGCCUGAGUUCCUCUGGAUCCUACUCGUCGGGAUUACCGUGCUCCCGCAGGUUGUUCACCAUGCGUUCCAUAGCACUUUGACUUUAUAUCUUUUACCAUCUUGGAAUCAUGUAGAUGUAGAUUGCUUUCAUCGCAGGGUCAUUCCUGAAGGUGGAUUGUACCAGCUCUUCGUCAUCAUAAAUAGCAAGCCACUCCUUGUUUAUUACUCCGCUUUUUCACUCUCUCAUUCUUAGUUAACCAUUUCAUUCUAUUGAAUCUUUGGUACUUUGAGUUUUGAACAAUAGUUAGAAUUUAUUAUUAAGCAAUCCCCCGCUUUUUGACUUCUUUCUCUCUUUCCUUGGAAAGAACAGUUGUUUAUUAAGGCCGCUUUUCUAGAAUCUACUUUGAAAGUGGAAAAUAGGUCUCUUCUUCAAUGAAGGGAGAACUAUUCACUAAGCCAACAGGUUAGCGAAGGAACUUUUGCCGGUCUUGCUGCUUUAAAGCGAAGGAGCCUUCCUUAUUCCUAUGGUCAUUAGAAUAACCUAUUCAUCCUCUUGGCCACUCUGAACUCAUAGGUAGCUGUGGUUCGGUUUACCUUCUUUCGCUUUGCCUUGGGUUCGGUGGUAGUAAUAGUCCUUCUUUAGCUCGCUCCUCCUUUCUUGGGUUCCCUAACUGUCUGCUAUUGCUAAAGCCCAACCUAUGCCUCCGGCAAAGGCAAGACGGAAAGCAAGCAUUAAGUGAAGAAGCAAGUUCAAUUACUCAAACGUUGGAACUUAUUGUAAAACACAUUCCGUCGCCCAAGUCAGAUCAUUGCCUACUGGCCACGAGGCUUAUGAGGCCAGCGGAGGAGGUGGAGGGAAACGUAUGAGAUGAGGGAUUUGGACUUGCUACACUUACCAGAUGUGAGGUAGUGAAAUGCUUUCCUUCCAUAGCGAACUUUCCCAUAGCCGUAGUUCCAGACUCUCCGAAGCCUAUGACCAAGAGUAAGGGCACUCAUUAGGCUGCACCGAUUAGAGAGAGUACGUCGUCUAUUCAUUCCACUCAUUCCUUAACGUCCAAAGCUAAGAAUUCAAAAAGUUAAUAGGUGGGUAGGUGUUCUUAGGUUCGUAACAUGCCUUUCUCAGAAGCCUUGUUGAAUUAAUGGCAAGGGAGAUAUUAGCUUAAUGGCUUGGCUAUGCUUGAGUCAGCGGAAAUCAUUUAUGAUGAAUAAAAUCAAUCAGAGGUAGUUACCUCUCCUGUAGCCGGGUAUGAGAGGUCUAGUUCGGUGAGAAUAGAUAGGGAUAGAAAGACCAUCCUGGUGCACAUGCUAUGGGUCUUAUUGUUUGUUGGGAAAGCAAGGAAGACUAGCUUUGGCGUGGGAAGCUUACCAAUUUAUGCGGUGGCUACUCGAUCGAGAAGAAAGAGCAGUUGUUACCCGCCUCCACUAUUAAGCAGCAUGAGCCACUAGACUGACUCGAUAUCCGUGUGUGGAUCCGCCCGAAGGCAGUCGAUUGGAAAAGAUGAAGACAAGGAAGAGCCAUUCUUCAUACAUAGGAGCGAGUGGUCGAAAUGGAAAGUGGACAAACGGAAUUCUGUACAACUAUAGGGUUCGGUUCUUUCUUCUGUCCCAGGUCCUUUCUUCUCUUGCGGAUCUUUCUUACUUUUAUUCCUCAGCUCGCUUACAAAAACUACAUAUUUUUUUUUAGAUAUGGACCCGGGGUUCUCGCUUCUGCGCAAGCUAUUUCCGAACCUGCCUGCCUUCGGGGAGAUGGGUUGGGUCAUACGCGGGACCUACCCCGAGGAAGGAGGCUUGAGGCGCGCUAAAUACAAUUGUUUUAUCAACACGGGGUGGAGAAGGCAUUGCAAUUUCCUGCUUUUAUGAUUGCUUCGAUUCCUCUGAUUCUUCUUCUGACAGGAAUUACUGAUCCUUUAUUGGCUAUGUCAUCCUCUGUUUAGUAGAUGUAUGGUAUGGUAUGGUUACUAGGUAGUGUUGCUCGAUACCCGAGCUUGCACCAGUAUUAGCUGGCUAUUCCACUAUUGCCAAAAGAAUUCUGGCUAUUGGCUUUCCAGCUUUCACCUCUCUGCAGCUUCUGGAGCUGCUUAAGCGCUUAACUUCUACCAAAGUGUGGUAUACAUUGGAUGGAAUUAGAGUGGGCGUGGCUACCUACAUCGGGCAAGAAUAGGAGUCGUAUUUCGUUUUGUACCACCGAAUAAGAUAGCGAGAAAUCAGAUCAAGAAUGGAACCUGUGGACCCUCCGACAGUACGAGCCCUUGUUCGCUUGGUUGCUCAACCCCUAUCUCCCAGGCUACGACCUAUCGCAUUGCCUUCGAUGAGUCUAUAUCGGAUGGGUGUUCAAGUCUUUUGAAAAACCAGCCCAUUCUAGUCUAUCUGUCCCACUCUAAAGAAGAUAGUGAACCUGAGGUUGUGCUGUCUCCAAUCCCACGAGUCCAAUAGGAAGAGCUAGUCCUCUAAAGUAAAGUAGGCGAAUUAUGGCUAAAUAAAAGAAUUCUUACUUUCACGGCCAUCAAACAUUCCAAGACAUCUCUUCAAGACUAUCCGACUCAGCUCUGGCGUAGGCAGAGCCAGGAACUAGAUCCGUAUCCCAUGAUCAGUAAUCUUACAAUUACACAACCACCAGAUCCUUUAGGUUUGUUCGAUCUAUCGAUAACUGAUAGAUAGACGCCUUUGACACUUCCUCCAGGUGGAGUUGAUUAACACUCUCAUGGUUGGUCGAUGGAAAUAGCAAGACGAGACAGACAUGAUAAUCUGAGAAAUAUAUGUGGUGAUCCCUUAAGCAAUAUCUAAGAAUUAAAUGUGUCCAAGAUUCAAUUGAUUGGUUGAAGCCAAGGUCUCGAGCUAGUCCAUCUUCCUAUAUGAUAUUCUUAAUAAUGCGCAGCACCAAGCCUGAAAUUGGGGAAUGAAUUGAAUCGAUUGCCUUCCUUUCCUGGACUGGACUGAAACUAAUAGGCUGCUUCCUCGUCUGUACUUCAACUAGGAGGUUGUUGAUAUCACUCUAGAUUCUCGAAAGGAUAUUGGAUUGAUUUCAAAUCAAGGAAACUAUUGAAAUCGGGUAGCGAACCUAUUGUUCCUUAUUCUUUUAUCCUCCUCGGCUCUAGUUGAACAAUGCACACACCCCGCUUUAGCUGCACAUAAUAAGGUGAUCCGUGAGGCGGCUAGCUAUUAGUUAGUGCGAUGUGCAGUGAAGUGAGAGAUCUCUCUACUCUAGUAGACCAGAUGAAAUAGCUGCAAUGACUAAUGUUUGAUUGGGAAGACAGAAUAAAAUACUCAACUAAACAUUGACGAUUCUUUUCCAGAAAUCUCAAGAGCCUUUUGUUUAUUUCAAACGCUUGAGACUGAAGCCCAUUCAAAAUAUCACACAUCUGCUUGUAUUCUUUUUUAUGUAACUUUAUAUAGAAGUGGUUUAAGUCAUGGGAAGUUAAUAGCCGAAAGUGAUUCUAGAUAUCCCCCGUGGGUUUGCAUAAGUAACCUCCUAUCAGAUCCGAUAAUGUAUCAGGAUCAGACCCCCUCUCUGCUGGUUGCCAAUCCAAGGGUUUGCAAAGCAUCGAAAGAUUGAGUUUGAUAGGGAGCAGAUUUAUGUUCAAAUUGGACAUAACAUAACAAGAAUUCUCUAUAUACCCUUGACCUUUCUUAAGAACCAGCACUGGAUCUUCUUUUGUUACUCCCCUAUCUGUUGAUAUAUGUAGAACAUUUCUUUCAAUCAUGAAUUGGAGCAAGUAUUUCCCGAUAUCAUAAUGACACUGCAUUUUUUUCUUUUUCUCUUUUUUGCUAGCACCUUUGGGCUGAACAACAUCCUUAACUGAUUCUACCUUACUAGUGAGUACUGCUUCCACCUUACCACUACUUGGUGCUUUGUAUUGUAGAAACCUUGCUUGUUCUCGUACAGUUGAAUUAAGUUGAUCUAUAAAUCUAGCUGCCUUAACUGCGGAUGAUUCCUGAAGAGUGUUGAAUACCAAGCCUAGUACAUGAAUCAUGAUAGCCUCAAGCGUAUAGAUACCAAACAUCUUAAGCAUAGGUAAGCUACUUGGUAGGCAACCCUUUGGAUAUUGCUUAGCGUUAGGCUGAUCUUUAUUAAUCAAGAACUUUACUAUGUUAGGAGUUACUUUAAAUAGAUUAUCCUCAUCGAACUUCAUUGUGCAAUUUGCAAUUUGAUUCUGUAAAUCUAUUAAUUCAGUAUCAGAAAACACACCACUUUGAUUCUUCUUUUCAUUAAUCAACAACUUUCUAACAUCAUCCUGAUACAUAUCAACAUUAGAAGUCUUUUUCGUUUUGUCAAUAUCCAACAGCUUAGCGUAGUAAUCGUUCCAGAACUCCUUAAUAAUACGUGCAUUUUGCAAAGAUUUCUCAUUCUCAAUGCUAUCAUCAUAUGUCUCGGAACAAUAAAAUAGAACCUGCAUACUUUUAUUUGUUACCCUUAAAAAACCGCAGUAAGGAUACGAAUACGACUGAAAUAAACUACUAGAAUCUAAAUAUAAGGAAAGGAUCAGAAUAAGUACUAAUGCUCUGUAUAGUACUUUUCCCCGAGCGAUGGUUUAGCGGAUUCGGAAUUGUAACCAAGCAUCCUGGGUUCUAUACCCGAUUCAACACUAGAGCAUGCAGCCGAUCCUGAAUACAUAACUCUAAAAAGUGUGUGUGCAGUUUUGGAUCUUUAUUGGUAGCCAGUCUUUCACUUCUGCCUCUCCACUCCCAUGCCUUUCUUGGUCGGACCAACCCAACUGGCGAUUUCCGACGAGUCUUUCUGCUUAGAGCAAGAAGCGGAACCAAAAUAAAGCUUUCUUUAUUUUCAUUUAUGGAUAACCAAUCCAUUUUCCAAUAUAGUUGGGAGAUUUUACCCAAGAAAUGGGUACAUAAAAUGAAAAGAUCGAAACAUGGGAAUAGAUCUUAUACCAAUACUGACUACCCAUUUCCAUUGUUGUGCUUUCUAAAAUGGCAUACCUUUACAAGGGUUCAAGUUUCGAUCGAUAUUUGCGGAGUGGAUCAUCCCUCUCGAAAACGAAGAUUUGAAGUUGUCCAUAAUUUACUGAGUACUCGGUAUAACUCACGCAUUCGUGCACAAACAAGUGCAUACGAAGUAACACGAAUAUCUCCAGUAGUCAGUCUAUUUCCAUCAGCCGGCCGGUGGGAGCGAGAAGUAUGGGAUAUGUCUGGUGUUUCUUCCAUCAAUCAUCCGGAUUUACGCCGUAUAUCAACAGAUUAUGGUUUCGAGGGUCAUCCAUUACGAAAAGACUUUCCUCUGAGUGGAUAUGUGGAAGUACGCUAUGAUGAUCCAGAGAAACGUGUGGUUUCUGAACCCAUUGAGAUGACCCAAGAAUUUCGCUAUUUCGAUUUUGCUAGUCCUUGGGAACAGCGUAGCGACGGAUAAUUCCGAAUCUACAUAGGUCUAGUCCAGGGGACAAAUCAAUAGGAAAUGCUAUUUGCUUCUUAAGAAGAAGAACUUUUUUGAAAUGAAAGAGUUUCCACGGGCGUCGGAUAUCAUUUCUUCAAAUAAGGAAGAAGUGUUAUCGAAGGAUUUCCUUCCAUUCUUCCUAGUAUGGAAGAAGUAAAGAAAAAGUACUGCGUCUCGAUCUAUACGAAAGGGCACUGGUUUUUUCUUUCGGUUUCAUUGAUAGCAGAAGAGUACGCUAGCUAGCGGAGCCUGAAAACGCUUGCUUGCGCCCCACCCCUACGGAAACUAUUGCCUAUGCUUGCUGCUCGCUCAGUGUCAGUAGAAGGGAAGAAAAGAUGGUCACUCCUUUUAGGAACAUGGCGAGCCUUACUUACGACUGUUGCACUUCACUCGCUGCUCGUUCAUUCACUUGCUCAUGAACUCGCUGCUUCGCCAGAAGUGACUAGUCGCCUCCUUUCCUCCGCCGAAAGAUGCUUAGCCAGAAGCGACGAAGGAGGGGAGCUGGGGAAGGCCGACGAUGGCAAUGAGGGGGAAGCUGUUGUAGAAGCUUUGCCCCUUGCUUUACAUAAAUGGAUUGUUAUGAACUUACUAAAUGACCUUAUUUAUUCUCCCGGAACGCUAGCAAAUCUAAUAGUUCCAUCUGCUCUUCUUAACUUAAGAACGAAGGCCGCCAUCCUUCUUAUUCAGGAACCCUUUGUUUGAGGAGGGCGUAUCCCCGGGAAGGGGAGAGUGGCCGAGCGGUCAAAAGCGACAGACUGUAAAUCUGUUGAAGGUUUUCUACGUAGGUUCGAAUCCUGCCUCUCCCACUUGUUGUAGACUUAAGAGAAGAGAAAGUAGGCGGAAGCCUAGGAGGGCCAACCGAGCGAAGCUCUUUUUUUUGCCGUGCCGUGAAGUGCAAUUUUCUCGUAUGCGUUUUAGAGAGGUUGUCGAAAAAAGACGAUCUAUAGAGAUUCCCCAUCUAUAUCCAAUCGAGAAUAGAAGCGAGUCGCUUCCGGCGUCGGCUUGUAGUCUCUGCAGUCGGCACACGCACGCGCCCGCCAUCAUGCCUCCUUGGUUCGGGACGAAGCCAAGCGAGACAUACGAUAGACGAAGGAAGCGCCCACCCAGCAGGAGGGCUAAAACCUGUAGUUUUGAAGUUGCAAACUCCAGCUUCGAAGCUGGAGUGCUUUAGCCCUUUUUUAAGCAAGAAUCACCGUCUUGAGCGCCUUGCGCGCUCAAGAACAAGCAAGGGAUGAGCGCUUUGUUGCUAAAGCGGAUACGUUUUCUUGCUGGGGAAGGCUAGUUUGAUCGAGGAUUGGAGAGGAGGGAGAGGUGGAAUAAAAAGCUCGGGAUGGAUUUGGGAGUCUUUGUGCGAGCCGUAUGCGGUGAGAGUCGCACGUACGGUAAGGAGGGGGGUUCGCGUCUAUACGUGUAGUGUGGUGGUUGGGCCUACCCACCCUAUUUGUUCCAUGAUCUAUGGGUCUACUGGAGCUACCCACUUCGAUCAAUUAGCCAAGAUUUUGACCGGAUACGAAAUCACUGGUGCUCGAUCUAGUGGUAUUUUUAUGGGGAUUCUUUUUAUCGCUGUAGGAUUCCUAUUCAAGAUUACUGCAGUUCCUUUUCGGGCGGCUGUAGGACGGACGGCCCCCUAUAGGUAGUAGGGUAGGGUGGGUGGUACCGCUCAGAUAGCGGCCAAUCCUCCUAACUGCGCGCGGGCCGGGCUUAGAGCGCGUGAAACUCAUCACUACCUCGUAAGGGCGUUGAGACCAUAGCAUGUUACACAAAAGCGCCGCUUUCUCAGGAGUGUUGUCACACAGCUGCCCGACUAGAAGAGCUACUCGCUCUGUAGUGUUGUCACACAAGAUAAGCACGCCGCCCGCCUGCUGGCCGGGCGAAUCGAAGUUAUCUUCCGGUCAACUGUCCACCCAGUCAAGUGCAAAAAACACAGUGGAAUCACGCAACGCACGCUACUGGUGUGCUUCCUGCCCACGAGGAAAGAAGAGCGACAAGGUUCAGAUUUGACUGUUUGCAGCAUGGGAGCUGAUUACCCAAAAAAUCCCUGGGAAAAAAGAAAAGAUAUCUCGGUAACGAAAACCAUAGGAGGCUGUAUUGGCGAGAUCCAAGGGUUCACAGCAGCCCAAAAGAAAAACCGCCUGGAAGUCCGAGGACCUUUAGUACCGUAACGAACCAGCAGCCUUCGCGCCAAGCGACGACCGCCCUUGUCCCUUUCCUUUUUCCAUUCAGCCUACUUCUUAGCUUUGUUCCGUCAGUCUAAGGCAAAGCUUAAGUGGUUUGCCUACCUUACCCACUUGAUGAAAGGGAACGAACUUCGUUUCCUUGGCGGCUUUAUGGAUGGAUUCAGUCAGAAAAAACUCCUUCCUUUUGAAAAAACUGACGCUUUGCGUCUUCGCUUCCGAGGGUUAGGGUAUAGGCCGUUUCGAGCAAGCUUUCGCUUUUUCUCCCGGCUUUCUACAACUUUCUCUUUAGCUUCCAAAGGCGACCCAAUGACCUUUCUGGAAUUGGAAGUAUUCGUCGCCCUACCCUAAGAAAGAAGUCAUUAUAAAACAGCUUGCCCUCCAGAAGUACCAAAGGUGCGCGGAGCCCGGUGAAAAUGAAUAUGUUUGCUACUGAAAGAAGCCUGCCUAUUGACUAAUAUUCGUCUUUAGAAUGAAAGUAGCUAUGAAGCCCAAUCUAUACUGUCGAUUCAAAAGGGGGCAUAGUCAUAUGGGUGGGGUGUUUGUGGGGAGCUGCCUUGGAUAUGAGGAAUUCCUCCAAUCUAAAAAAAAUGAACAAAGAAAAAGUCCGUGACGAAGAUCUUUCUUUUCUAUCAAUAGAUAGGAAUGAGUGUUCGUUAUAGGGGAUAGGAUCCAUCUGCU
rnacentral:lncRNA from 1 species